AUUCUGCAGCAAACAUGGAUGCAGGGCCAAUCGGGAGCCUGCAAGAAACGUGUCUCAGGGUGUUGUAGAUGCUGAUCUCUGGGACCGCGAUUAUCGAUCGAUGAGGUGGUGCUGAUUACCGGAUUCGGUCACCACAUCACUCCCAUCACCACACCAACACGGUUUAUGUACCUGUACAGUUGUUGAGGCAGCGCUGAGACAUUGAUCUUUGUGUUCUAGUUACAGGUAGCCAAAUGACCCAAAAAAAGGAAUGAGAAAAUAUCAAUACUAAUCUUUCCAGAGAUUGAUUGGUGGUAAAUCCAAAUAUAUAGAUAACUAAAGGAUAUCUUUUCUUUAUAUACCAAAAUAUAAAAAAAUAAAAAUUUAUCGACG
rnacentral:sRNA from 1 species